CUCGCGGGUUUUGUUGUCUCCCGGCUCCGCGUUGUGCCCAGGUGCCCACCCCGCAGGUUCCGGCUCCCUCAGCUGCGGUCCGCCGCGGCGGCUCUGCUGCAACGUCUCUUCCUGUGAGGUCGGGACGACGCGGGGCCGUCAGGAAGUCGGACAUGAACUCAGUGGCCUUUGACGAUGUAGCUAUAAGCUUCACCCAGGAAGAAUGGGCUAUGCUGGAUACUUCACAGAAGAAUCUCUACACAGAUGUGAUGCAAGAAGUCUUUAGGAACCUAACUUCUAUAGAAAAUGAGUGGGAAGACCAGAACAUUGAAGAUAAGGACAAAAGUCCUGACGUACAUCUAAGGCACAUCAUAACGGACUCUGGAUACAACCUGUACGAAAGUGAAGAAUAUUCAGAGAAGCCAUGUAAAAUUACACAAUAUAGGAACUCCUUCAUUUCUCUCAUGAGUGUUCAAAGACAUAUGAUAAUGGACACUGGAAGUAAACCUUAUAAGUGUAUGAUAUGUGGGAAAGCCUUUCAUUUCCCCAGUGAAUUUAGAAUACAUCUAAGAACUCAUACAGGAGAGAAGCCUUAUGAAUGCAAACAAUGUGGUAAAGCUUUCAGUCAUUCUAGUUCCUUUCGAAAACAUGAGAGAACACAUACAGGAGAAAGGCCCUAUGUAUGUAAACAAUGUGGUAAAGCCUUUAAUUGUUCUGGUUCCAUCCGCAAACAUGAAAGAACUCAUACUGGAGAGAAGCCCUAUGAAUGUAAACAGUGUGGAAAAUCCUUCAAUUGUCCCAGUUAUCUUCAGAUUCACGAAAGAAGUCACACUGGAGAGAAGCCCUAUGAAUGUAAACAAUGUGGUAAAACAUUCAGUUGUUCUAGUUCCCUUCGAAAACAUGAAAGAACUCAUACUGGAGAGAAACCCUAUGAAUGUAAACAGUGUGGUAAAGCUUUCAGUUGUUCCAGUUCCUUUCGAAAGCAUGAACGAACUCAUACUGGGGAGAAGCCCUAUGAAUGCAAACAAUGUGGUAAGGCCUUCUUUUCUCUCACAAGUGUUCGAACACACAUGAUAAAGCACACUGGAAAUGGGCCUUUUAAAUGCGAUGUAUGUGAGGAAGUGUUUCCUUUUUCCAGUGUAUUUAGAAGACAUCAAAUAUCUCAUGCUGGAGAGAAGUCCUAUGAAUGUAAACAAUGUAGUAAAUGGUUUAGUUCUUCUACUUCCCUUCAGAUACAUGAAAGAACUCAUAAUGGGGAAAAGCCCUACAUAUGUAAACAAUGUGGUAAAGCAUUCAGUUGUCUCAGUUACAUUAGAAAACAUGAACGAACUCAUACUGGGGAAAAACCCUAUCCAUGUAAACAAUGUGGUAAGUGGUUUAGUGCUUCCAGUUCUCUUCAAACACAUGAACGAAUUCAUACUGGAGAAAAACCCUAUACGUGUAAACAGUGUGGUAGAGCAUUCAGUCGUUCUACUUCCAUUCGAAAACAUGAACAAACUCAUACUGGGGAGAAACCCUAUGAAUAUAAUGUGGAAAAGCCUUCACUUCUUCCAGUUGAAAUUUGAUUACUAGACGAAAGCCUUAUGAAUGUAAACUUUGGUAAAACCUUAAUUUCUCUCACAGGUUUUUGAACACAUAAAGCACAUUGGAAAUGGACCUUUUAAAUGUAAGGCUUGGCCAGACAUCAUCCCAGUCAUUCAGACAUCAUCCCAGGCAUUCAGGAGAAUGAGGUAUCCUGAAUAGCUGUGGAAACCACUCUUCAUCAUGCUUAGUCUGCUUUUAACCUGAGUAGUAGGGGCUUGUCUGUGCUUCUGCAACUUGCUGGAGGCUGAGCACCUUGGUCAAGAGUCAAGAGCUGGGGCUGACCCAAGAGCAUCAAAAUGCAGAAGGGAGUUCAGCUGCCAUGACAACCCAGCCUUUCUUGGUCCCUGAACCAGGAUGUUUUCCUUUCAUUAAUACAAGUGUCUGGAUACCCUGUCCCUGCCCAACAGAUCCUCGGCAUAGAUGGGAUAGCUGGAAGGAGGAUGUUAUUUAACUGUCAAUCCGAAGAACAGAUUCCCCAGAAGACCAUAGCUGCUUGGGAACAGCAGGGUCACAAUGGGGACAGAUGUGCCAUAGCAAACUAAGGUUGGAAAAGGCAAGAGGGAGUUUUCAAAGACAAAAUAAGGAGAAUUAAAUAAAGUAUUAAGGGGGUGGUUGGAGAGAUGGCUCAGCGGUUAAGAGCAUUGCUCUUGCAGAGGACCCAGGUUCAUAUCCCAGCACCCAUGUGGCAGCUAACACUGUUUGUAACCCCAGUUCUAGGAAAUUCGAUGCCCUCUUCUGUUCUCUGAAGGCACUGCAUGGCACAGGUGCACUUAUAUACAUGCAGGCAUAGCAUGUAUACACAUAAAAUAAUAAAAAUUUAAGUAAGGCAUUGUGAAAUACUAAUUCUUGGAUACAAGGAUCAGUAACAGUGGUGGCACCAGCACAAGGCUGGCAGAGGUCUUAACAUAAGUAUUUUUGCAUUAAACUGUGGUGGCCUUGGUGCAAGCUAAGGUUUUGACAGUCUUGUCUAGUGCUGUGUGUACAUCUGGGCCUCAUUCUGACGGUCCAUGCCAGGACCCAAAGGGAGCAGCUGGUUCUCCCACAGGCCUCACACCUCAGCUGCACCUGCCACUCCUGGAAACAGGGGGAUGAGACUAGCACAGAAAAUAGGAUGGCCUGCAGGUGCUAGAGGUAUGACAUCAUGUGGCCCCAUGCAGGCUGACAGGAGAUGGCUUACUUAUAUCCAUUUCAGACUUCGAAAACCUGCAGCCAACAAAGCAGGCACCACCCUGCCCAGAGCCAACAAUAGAAGGGUGUGUCUGCCUCCUGUAGAGUUCCCUAUGCUCUUGCUUUGGGUUUGGCUUUGCUUCUAGGGCGGCCCCAAUGGGCUGGUACAGGAGCCAAGACCCAAUAGGAGUGCCAUGGGAAGGAAAGCUCCCUGUGGUGAUUUGAAUGAGAAUGUUACCCAUAGGUUCCAAGUAUUUGAACACUUGGUGGCACCAUUUGGGGACAGUCAUGGAACCUUUCAGGUAUGACCUUGCUGGAGGAAGUAUGUACUAGGGUGAGCUUUGAGAGUCCAUAGCCUUGCCUCAUUUUGAGUUUGUGCCUCUCUGCUUCCUGUGCCUGCCUGCUCUGAAUGCCUCCUGCCAUGCCUCCCCCACUAUGAUGGACUCUUAUCCUUCUGGAACCAUAAGCCCAAUAAACUCUUCCAUCUGUAAGCUCCUUGGUCAUGGUAUUUUACUACAGCAACAGGAAAGUAAUUAUAUAACCCUCCACCCUGUACUAUCAUCUCCAUUCUGGGAACCUGGCUGGGCCAGUACCUGGGUUUCUCAGCCCCCUAGCCCUAUACCUCCAGCCACAGGAGAACAAUGUUCAUUUUAAGAAUCUACUUAUGCUGGGCGUGGUGGCUUAUGUGAGCCUUUAAUCCCAGCACUUGGAAGGCAGAGGCAGGUGGAUCUCUGUGAGUUUGAGACCAGCCUGGUCUACAUAGUAAGUUUCAGGUCACCUGGGGCUACAGAGAGCCCCUGCUCAAAAAGACCAAAAAAAUCCAGAAUCCACCUUCAGGCUUAAGAAUCCCUCUUCAUCCACCUCUAAUCCCAGCACUUGGGAGGCAGAGGCAGGUGGUCUACAUAGUGAGUUCUAGGCCAGCUGGGGCUACAGAGAGACCCUGUCUCAAAAAAA